AUUGAACGCUAGCGGGAUGCCUUACACAUGCAAGUCGAACGGAGGGGCGAACGGGUGAGUAAGGUAUCGGUCUGUGCCCAGUAGUGGGGGAUAACUACGCGAAAGCGUAGCUAAUACCGCAUACUAUUGGAGUGGCAGAUAUCGGGUUAGCUUGUUGGUGGGGGAACGGCUCACAAGGGCGACGAUCCGUAGCUGGUUUGAGAGGACGAGCAGCCACACUGGAACUGAGACACGGUCCAGACUCCUACGGGAGGCAGCAGUGGGGAAUGUUGGACAAUGGGGGCAAGCCUGAUCCAGCCAUCCCGCGUGUAUGAUGAAGGCCUUCGGGUUGUAAAGUACUUUUGGCGGGAAAGCGGUACCUGCAGAAUAAGCACCGGCUAACUACGUGCCAGCCGCCGCGGUAAUAC
rnacentral:rRNA from 1 species